rnacentral:misc_RNA from 1 species
GGCUCGAACGGACGUUCUUGAUUCUUCUUCGUCCAUACUAGAACUGUCGUAGUCGUAGGUACUUUUCCGUCACAACAAAUACAAAAAACGUAAACAAACAAGUUUAAGUUAAAAUGCAGAGUGCUUCGGAUGUGAUAUCGUCAUUAUUUUGGUUUAAAGGCGAGGAUGAAGAUGAAGAAAAAUACCCUGAUAUUAUAGAACAAUUUGUGCAAUAUGUUGAAGACUUUAGUUCUCAAUACGGAAGUGAAAUCAGUGUAUCGUAUACCGCUUUCAAUCUUCGCGGUCCACCGUCGAACUUUCCUGAUUAUGGGGACUAUCCGCAAGCGUUUGUGAUGAGAACUUACGGCACAUGGUGGGAAGAAGCUCCCUCCGCUCAGGAAGACUACAUGCCGCAAAACAAUCGGAGCAUUCCGAGCCAGGACUUUGUUGAAGUAUCGUUUGAGAAGGCGGUCUACCCUGUUGAGGUGUCUGUGUUCGAGACAUACAAUCCCGGCGCUCUUGUCCGUAUCUGGGCCCAGGGUCCGUCGAUGUGGCUGUUACUUUGGGAAGGCGAGCCAGAGUAUGCGGGGGACAGACCGAGGAUUUUCAGCCCUCCGAUUAGACAAAUUGAUGUGUUGACCAGGGUCCUAAGACUGGAGUUCAACCACAAACUGCUCCCGUAUUACACGGAACUAGACGCCGUGUUGUUAAAAGGAAGGGAGCCUUGCAAGUUCCAAGUGAAGAACAAACUGAUGUGUCCAUCUCUGCUGAAGAUCAAUGGACCGGUUAUGGAGAAAGGUCAGCUGUUACAUAAAAUCAUGGCGUCGAACUUGCACGAGUCCGUCUUACCCCCCGCGGCGAUACGGGGGAAGAUGCAGAUCGACACGGGGCCACCGCCGGGGGACUUCGAACGGUUACCGGACGAGGCAAUCCUCUGCGUGAUGAAGUACCUGGACAUGCAAUCGCUGUGCCGCUGCGCGCAAGUCAACAGACAUUUCAACAGACUCGCAUCUGACGCCAUACUAUAUCGCAGCAUUGACCUUAGGCCGUAUUGGCAUUGCGUGCAAUCUCAAGUACUGGUAACUCUUUCAAUGCGGUGCAAAUUCCUUCAGAAACUGGACUUAUCGUGGUGCGGAAGUCAUCUCAUGAUACUACCCAACUACGUCGUAAAUUUCAUCAAAGACAAUGGGGCCGAGUUGACACACUUAAGGAUGAAUUGCUGUAAAUUCGUUAACAACGCCGUGCUAAGAGCCAUCGUUGACACCUCCUUCUAUCUACAAGAACUAUGCCUCCGAUCUGUAGUCGGUUGCUCAGACUGGCAAUGCCUCGCAUCGCUCACUAAACUCAAAAGACUGGAUCUAUACAGGACAGAUAUAACGACCAUCGCCGCUGUAGCUAUAGUAGUGUCCAACCCUGAACUACAACACAUCAAUGUUGGUUCGUGCAAGAUGAUAUCAGCGAUGGACGAAGUGGCUAUUGCGCUCGGCGUGAACUGCCCCGACUUGAUAUCAGCAGACUUCUGGAAGUCCUACUCGCUGACUCCCACCGGCAUCAGGGCGCUCGGGAAUUGCAGGCGGCUGCAGGAGCUGGACGUUGGAUGGUGUCUCCAAGCAGGCGGUUCAGGCGAAUGGCUAGCCUGGCUCAACGGCGGUGAACUACGCAAACUCUUCCUCGGCGCUUUACGUGGCGUGUGUGACCGGGACCUAAGGAACUUGCUACCAAGAGUACCUAAGCUUACUCAGUUGGACUUACUGGGUGUGAGGGCAGUUACUCCUGAUAUUUGUGACGCAAUCUUAGCGGAAUGCCACGAACUGAAGUUGCUGGAUGUCAGUUUCUGCGAUCAAAUACAAGAGUCUCAGGUAUUGGAAUGGCGCGAGCGCUACCCGCACGUCAGCAUAAAGCGGUCCUUCCAGUCCGCAACAUUGACCGCGACGCCAAACCCGCUCUUCCUAGCCCCGAGCCUGGAAUGAUGGUGCACCGUGUGCCCCAUGGUCGUUAUUAUGAAGAAGAUGGCCGAAAUCUACUCGUUUAUAUGAAACGAACAAGCCGACAAUGAUGACAGCUAUGGCUGCUAAGCAGCAAACAUGAAAACUUGAUGACAAACCUUUUUUAUACGAAUAACAUGUUAUUUCUGCUCUAGUGAAGUAAUAUACUCUGUCCAGCCGGCGUAUCAUGCUUCCAAUUUGAUGACUUAUCGAUGUGGGUAAAGUAUCCGUCACGCUUUGGCAAGUAUGUUGUCAGUGUGAGAGUGACAGAUGUCACUCUCACACUGACAUAAUACGCCGGCUGUUGUGAAUAGUCCAGAAUCAUCGCAAAACCUUUUCUUGUUAAUUUUCGUAAGUUGAAAUAAACCAUAAAUUGACAUAAAUUAGACAAAACUUGACUUAAUUGACGAUUUUUUAAGUGAUAAACUGAUUAAGGUCCUCGUUUUUUUAGUUUAUAAAUAAUUAUAUUUUAUCUAGAGCAGGUGGAAUGGCUAGUGACCUAGCGGUAAGAGCGCGUGACUUUCAAUCCGGAGGUCGCGGGUUCGAACCCCGGCUCGUACCAAUGAGUUUUUGGGAACUUGUGUGCGAAAUGUCAUUUGAUAUUUGCCAGUCGCUUUU